AACGAACGCUGGCGGCGUGCUUAAUACAUGCAAGUCGUACGAGAACACCUCCUUCGGGAGGCUAGUAAAGUGGCGCACGGGUGAGUAACACGUGGGUAAUCUACCCCAGAGUCUGGGAUAACAUCGGGAAACCGGUGCUAAUACCGGAUAAGCUCACAGGGUCCUUCGGGGCCAGUGGGAAAAGAGGGCCUCUUCAUGAAAGCUCUCGCUCUAGGAUGAGCCCGCGGACCAUUAGCUUGUUGGUAGGGUAAUGGCCUACCAAGGCGACGAUGGUUAGCUGGUCUGAGAGGAUGAUCAGCCACACUGGGACUGACACACGGCCCAGACUCCUACGGGAGGCAG
rnacentral:rRNA from 1 species